ACGAUCGUGGCGAGGAUCGUGCGCACCGUGCUCGCCGGUGCGCGCCGCGCGGGUUCGUCGUCCGCCGUCCGUGC
rnacentral:tRNA from 1 species